GUGCCAGCAGCCGCGGUAAUACGUAGGGUGCAAGCGUUAAUCGGAAUUACUGGGCGUAAAGCGUGCGCAGGCGGUUUUGUAAGUCUGACGUGAAAUCCCCGGGCUUAACCUGGGAAUGGCGUUGGAGACUGCAAGGCUGGAAUCUGGCAGAGGGGGGUAGAAUUCCACGUGUAGCAGUGAAAUGCGUAGAGAUGUGGAGGAACACCGAUGGCGAAGGCAGCCCCCUGGGCUAAGAUUGACGCUCAUGCACGAAAGCGUGGGGAGCAAACAGGAUUAGAAACCCCCGUAGUCC
rnacentral:rRNA from 1 species